rnacentral:rRNA from 1 species
UACGUAGGGUGCAAGCGUUAAUCGGAAUUACUGGGCGUAAAGCGCACGUAGGCGGUUAGUUAAGUUGGAUGUGAAAGCCCCGGGCUCAACCUGGGAAUUGCAUUCAAAACUGGCUAACUAGAGUAUGUGAGAGGGGGGUAGAAUUCCAAGUGUAGCGGUGAAAUGCGUAGAGAUUUGGAGGAAUACCAGUGGCGAAGGCGGCCCCCUGGCACAAUACUGACGCUGAGGUGCGAAAGCGUGGGGAGCAAACAGG